rnacentral:rRNA from 1 species
GACGAACGCUGGCGGCGUGCUUAACACAUGCAAGUCGAACGGAAAGGCCCUGCUUUUGUGGGGUGCUCGAGUGGCGAACGGGUGAGUAACACGUGAGUAACCUGCCCUUGACUUUGGGAUAACUUCAGGAAACUGGGGCUAAUACCGGAUAGGAGCUCCUGCUGCAUGGUGGGGGUUGGAAAGUUUCGGCGGUUGGGGAUGGACUCGCGGCUUAUCAGCUUGUUGGUGGGGUAGUGGCUUACCAAGGCUUUGACGGGUAGCCGGCCUGAGAGGGUGACCGGCCACAUUGGGACUGAGAUACGGCCCAGAAUCCUACGGGAGGCAGCAGUGGGGAAUAUUGCACAAUGGGCGGAAGUCUGAUGCAGCAACGCCGCGUGCGGGAUGACGGCCUUCGGGUUGUAAACCGCUUUCGCCUGUGACGAAGCGUGAGUGACGGUAAUGGGUAAAGAAGCACCGGCUAACUACGUG